GCGGGAAUAGCUCAGUUGGAUAGAGUAACUGGCUUCGAACCAGUAGGUCGGGGGUUCAAUUCCCUCUUCCCGUACCA
rnacentral:tRNA from 1 species